GGAAAGCGAGCGGCGGAUGGGUGAGUAACACGUGGGGAACCUGCCCCAUAGUCUGGGAUACCACUUGGAAACAGGUGCUAAUACCGGAUAAGAAAGCAGAUCGCAUGAUCAGCUUUUAAAAGGCGGCGUAAGCUGUCGCUAUGGGAUGGCCCCGCGGUGCAUUAGCUAGUUGGUAAGGUAAAGGCUUACCAAGGCGAUGAUGCAUAGCCGAGUUGAGAGACUGAUCGGCCACAUUGGGACUGAGACACGGCCCAAACUCCUACGGGAGGCAGCAGUAGGGAAUCUUCCACAAUGGACGCAAGUCUGAUGGAGCAACGCCGCGUGAGUGAAGAAGGUUUUCGGAUCGUAAAGCUCUGUUGUUGGUGAAGAAGGAUAGAGGUAGUAACUGGCCUUUAUUUGACGGUAAUCAACCAGAAAGUCACGGCUAACUACGUGCCAGCAGCCGCGGUAAUACGUAGGUGGCAAGCGUUGUCCGGAUUUAUUGGGCG
rnacentral:rRNA from 1 species